GGAGAAUAGAACGACUACUUCUACUUUCUGUAUCUGAAAUUUUCAAAAGCUAUUUCAAAAUGAACAUUUAAACAACAGGAAAUUUUAGAGACAACCACUUUGUGCCUGUCUUCAUCCUUGACAUUCAACAUCCUAGGAACAAUGGGCUGUUGUAUUCAACUUCUUAUUCCCAACAGCCAUUAUGAAUGGUUUUUGAUUGAUCUCACAAAGAGCAUGUGCUUUAGACAUUAAUGCAGCGACUACCAUGAAACAGAGUAUUGGAUUACCUAAGGAAAGAAGCAGAGGAUGGAAUUUGAGGCAAUCAGGAUGAGUGAAAAAUUGAUUUGCAGCUGACCUGCAAAUGGAAUCAUCAGGAACAUCCCUUUCUCAUGGAGUCCCUUAAUUUACAAGUUAACUGCAAACAUAGGAGAUGAUAGUUCCAAGAAGGAACAUUUUAUCGUCUUUGUUUUUAAUCUCAAGAAUGGUACCUACCAUCAGUGAAUGACCUGUUGCAGUGCUUUCAUUGAAGUGUUCUUCGUUCCCUCAGCAAUAUGAUUGUGAUGACUGAAAAAGGGAAACUGUGCCACUAUUUGUACCAUCAUUUUCACCAAAAUCUAAAAAUGCUUUUUAUGACGUAUGGAGACAUUCUUCAUGUUUGUUUCAGUGGACACUCCUUGCAGAUGUAAAAAACUGAGAAAACUCACUUUUGGAAAGUGACCUAAAGAGUGUCAUUGAAGUGAAUUUUAAGUAGGCACGAUGAUUGUUUUCAUGGUUGCUGUUGGAUCAUAUCUCAGGAGCUGGAAUGACAGACAUUAUUGAACAAAGAAAUCAGGAUAGUGGAACUUAAAGGGCUUCAUCUCAGUGCUUUCAUAAAAUAUUCCCUCUGUAUACUUGCAUUUUUUUCUAUCAAUUGACGCUUACAAUUAUUUUUGCAAGUUGGAAAAAAAUGCAGUAUUAAUUUCAUUUGCAACAAAUUUAAUAGAUUAAUUAGGAGAGAAUAGAUAUCUUUAAAAUUGAGUCUUCUGUCCAACUGCAAGUUAUAGCUGAGGUGGUACCAGUUUAAGAAGUGAGAACUUCUUCACUGACUGAAAUUUGCAUAUCAAUCCAAAUCAUUGUGCUUAUUUACUAUUUUUGUAGACGUCAUUCUUCAAAAGUGCUGCAUCUUCAAUAGUCAAGGAGGACAAAGACAUCUUUCCUGCAGGUGGUGACCAUGUGGAUAAUAGGAUCAUAGACAAAUGGUGGUUCCAUCUACAGCAUCACCGAAAUGCUGUUGUUACUGCUUCUUUCUGGGAUCUUCUUGCAUCUUUGCUUCUAAAGGGGCACACCUUUUAUAGAAGUACGUCCAGGAAUAGAAGUGACCUGCUUUUUCGCAAGUAAUUGCCUGGAAUGUUUUUAUGUACUUCUCUGCACUCUCAAUACAUUUCAUGCUUCCCUCUAUUUUUGUAUAUUAACUCAUUGUAUUUCUUAAAUUUAUAUUUUACUUUAUGAAUGGAAGUGAGAUUUGUGUAUGGUAAAUAUAAUUAAUUCAACCCCAUGGAUACGUUAGUCACUGUCCAGAUGAUGGCAAGUCUUUCUCAGAAGCAGAGGGCCUUGGUGUGCCAGUGAUUUUUUUUCCCCAUGUGUAAGAUACUUUUUUUCCUCAUUUGAAUCAGGAGCCCACAGUUUUUAGACAAGUCCCAAAUGAAAUCUUAAGCAUUUGUGUUAUCUGGACUAGACCUUCUGUAGUAUCCUUUUUGUUAGACCUAGUAUAUCUCAUUGCAGAUCAGGAUCUGAGAUUGACUAUAGUUCACCUCUUUCCAAGUACACAAACUUGGAUGACAUGACAACUGAGUGUGUAAGGGAGAGCGAGACCCUUGCACUGCCAUUUGAGCCCUUGUGAUCUCAUCUUGUAGAACAUGUUGUACAAUCAUUUUAUUGGUAUCAUUAGUGUUAUUUGGGGCUGGAAUAAAAAUCUCAGUGCACCAAAGAGAUUUCCCCUUUAUCCACGUUACCCUGGUUUUCCUUUGUUUUCUGUUUAACCUAAACGGGCUUAAUAUAAAAUAGUGCUUAUUUGGUGUUUUAAUUGUCUGCUUCUAUAACAUAAGCUGCACUGUCCAUUGGGGAACUGCUCACCAUAUUGCCCAACCUGUCUUGAUAGGUUUAUACAUGGGAGGCAUUCAGUAAUAUUAAUUACCUCUCUAGACCAGUGUUAGCAAUAACAAACACUUGCUAGAAUUUUAAGACUAUAUAAUCAAUCACUUUGAUGUCAGUUAAUCCUACCAACACAAGAUUAAAGGUUUAAAAAUCUCAUACGUGUACAGCCAUUAGUGUCUCCUUUCAUACUAUAUUAUUUUGUUCAUUGGCAGCUAGAUUUUUAGGUAGAACUUGUGUUCCUUUUUGCAAUGCUCAUUUAUUUUACCUGGACAGAAGGUGCUCUUCUGUCUCUUCUCCAAAGUUAAUUUAUCUCAUACUAUUUCUUGUGUUAAUAUUUUCCAAGUUCAGUAUGCUGUUCUGGUUAUAAGAAGAUCAGUGUCCUAAUCACACACUUUUACAUUAUAUGAAACAUCAUACAGAGUUUUGUAGUCUGUAUAACAAUACACAGAGGUAGCAAAAUUUGUAAAAGAGCAGACUAUAUAGUCCAUACUGUAGUAACUACUCAACAUUGCCAUUAUACGUGAAAUCGGCUAUAACCAAUUCAUAAACAAAUGAAUUUGGCCGUGUUCUAGUAAAACUUAUUUACAAAAACAUGUGUUAGGCCAGAUUUGGACCACAGGCUGUAGAUUUCUGACCUCUGGCUUACAGCAGAAGUUUAUUAUGAUCCUGGGGAAGGUGGAUAUACAUGGAAGGCAGAAGCGAGAAGAUGUAUUCCAUCCCAUGUCAUUUUUCUGAACCCUCAACGUAGGAAGUUAAACUAAAACAUGGGGCAGAAUCUGCUUUAAGCCUUUGAAUUCUUGGCUCUUAAAGCCAGGUUGAGGGUUAUGUGUUUUUAUUCUUUUAUAUCUCCUUUUCACUUAGGCUUGGCAACUAGUUCAUUGAAACAGAGCCAACAAGAAUGAGUGAGUCACUCAGUGAUAUGAAGCAAGCUGUGGUCAUUUAUCUACUACCUUCCAUACCUACUUCCUAGGUUUGAUAAGUAGUGUUUGUAGUGUAGUUGUCAGUAACUUUUCUCAGCUUACAUAAGUUUAUGUGGAAUUCAUUUACAAAUGUGUGAUUAUUACGAUAGAUGUUAUUUUAUAAAUUUCAAGGUUCUUUAAUACAGCAUGGACAUGUUUCUAAAUCAAUAAAUAUAGCUUACCCACAGACUUUUUAUGGGAUGUAAAGUAUGUAUUACAACAGGUAAAUCCAUUUCUCUGUUUUGGGAAAGCAGGUUAAUGUUUUGUUUGUUUUGUUGCUGCAUAUAAUGUUGCACUAUAUAUAUAUUCUAAUGCAGUUGGUCUCCUAAUUCUACAGGAUAAAUGUCUAGCUGUGGCAUUGUUGGAUCAUCAGUUUCGUUUCAGUUAGAUGCUGUGAAAUUGCUCUUGAAAAUGGUGUCCUCUGCCACCACAGAACGGUGUUGUAAUGGAAGUGCCAAUUUUCAUAAAAACUUGUGUGCAACAGGUAUUAAGAAUUUUUGAGGUCGGGCGCAGUAGCUCACGCCUGUAAUCCCAGCACUUUGGGAGGCCUAGGCAGGUGGAUCACCUGAGGUCAGGAGUUCCAGACCAGCCUGACCAACAUGGUGAAAUCCCAUCUCCACUAAAUACAAAAAAUUAGCUGGGCGUGGUGGCAUAUACCUGUAAUCCCAGCUACUUGGGAGGCUAAGACAGGAGAAUUGCUUGAACCCAGGAGGCGGAGGUUGCAGUGAGCCGAGAUUGCACCACUACACUCCAGCCUGGGUGAUGAGCGAAACUCCAUCUCAAAAAAAAAAAAAAGCUUUAAAUUUUUAGCCAAUCUAAUAGGUGAAAAUGGCAUUUUUAACAUAAGUCUGACUUAAACAAUUAAUGGCCGUGGCUAAAAGAAGAAUCAAAUAAUGAUGUGUGAUUUAUAAGAUAAGGAGGCAGUACCCCAUUUUUCCUCACUCUACCCAAAAAUCCUGUUUAUCUGAGCAAGAAAUCAUUAAUAUUUUCUAAAUCCGCUUGGAAGUUCAUAAACGCCCUAAGUAUACCUUAUACCAGCGUUUUUAUGACUUUGUAUUUUUGAAAUAAUUUUAGAUUCAGAAUCGCAAGAAUCAUGCAGAGCGACCUGAUUUACGCUUCACCUAGAUUGACUUUUUAUUCUGCAUCGUUGUGUUCUUCCCCCACUUCCUCUUCUUGCUCUCGCCUCCCUUUAUAUGUUUAUACAUAGCAUUAUCAUUUUAUGUACUAUUUGAAUGAUUUGCCGACAUUAUCUUCCUGUAACCCAAAACACUUCAACAUCUACUUUCUAAGAGCCUGAGCAUCUUAUAUUGACUUCGGUAAAAAUUUCAAAAUAAUGAAAUGUGUCAAUAGUAUAAAAGUAUAACAGUAUGCAGUCCAUAUUCACAUUUUACCCAUUUUUCCAGAGGUGUUCUUUAUAGCAGUUUCUUCCCUUCUACAACAUCCAGAAAAGGAUCUUCUAUUGCAUUCAAUUAUCAUGUCUCUUUAGUUUUGUUUAAUCUGAAACAGUUUCCUGGACUUUGAUCACAUCAGUGUUCUUAAAAAGUAAUAGCUAACAGAUUUAAGGAGAUACCUCAGAUUUUGAAUUUUGUGUUUCCUCAUGAAAAGGUUUAAGAUACUCAUUUUGAGCAGAAAUAAUUCAGUAUUCUCAGUCUUCCUUAGUGAAUCAUCUCAGGUGACAAAUAAUGUCACUUUGUCUCACUUUGAAUUACUUUGAUCUCUUGGUUCGAUUGGUGUCCACUGGACUUUUCCACUAUAGUUAACAUUCCUUCAUAAUUAAUUUGGAACUAUACAGGUAUUCUAUUUUUCAUCAAACUUCCACAUAGUAGGUUUAAUAUGCACAGGUGACUUUUACCUGAAUCAGUGUUGAUUAGAAAAAAAUCUGUUAUUGCUUAGAUGCAUUAUUUAGUAUCUUGUACUGUAAGGAAGAGUUUGUAUAUCAUGGCCUGUCAGAACAGUCCCGCAAUGUGUUUUAUGAACUGAAAAUUCUGAAAGAAUAAGGUAGUGAUUUAUAUGAGAAUACAGGGAAAGGGUUACCCAAAGAGUCUAAUGAAUUUAUGUCUAAACCAUAGAGUGGAAUGUGAGAGACACACAGAACUCCAGAGUUGUGAUGCAAAUACACUGCACAGUGGAAGGAGAAGAGGAAGUUUUUGGUAAUAGUGUUUCAUCUAAUGUAGCUCUGUAAUGUAUGUGUGCCUUCAUUAUUGGAAGAGUGUUCAACAGUUCACAGUUGAAUAGACUGAAGCAUGAUGCUGGAAUCUGGGUUCAGAUUCUAGAUCCGUAUCCUACAUAUCACCAAUGCUUGUUUCUCAAUUUUUGUUUGUCAUUACUUUAAGUCUCUUUAAUGCAUUAGAGUAUCCAAGGUUGACAGUGAAGGGACUGCAUUUGGGAGCUAUCUGAAGACAAAAACAGCUUUUUGAAGUUUCUUUCAUACGUCACCUUACAUGGCCUCUCGCAUUCUCUGUGGAGAAGUUUGUGUAGAUUAUUCAGACUACCGUGCAGUGACUGUGUUGUUUAAAACCUAUACAUAUCCAAACUCUGUUUUGUGUUCUCUAUAACUAGGGCAUUAGUCUCCCAAUAGUAAUCCUGCAUCUUAUGCUAUUUAAAGAAGGUUCCCAGAAUACAGACAUUCUUACUUUUGAACAAUGACUUGGGUAGAUUGAGGAAGUGGUUUUAAUAAUCACUUUGAUAUAUUUCAAAAUCUGGUUCAUUAUUGGUGAGGUGCAGGCCACCUGGUAUUAAUGAAAAUGUGUAAUUAGGAACCAGUGCAGUGGAAUCAGAGGCUUGAACAUGACCUAAGGCUUGGUCAAAAGUGGUGAUCUGAAUGUUCCCUGCUCUCUGUAUGUAACUUUGUACUUAGUCUUCAGUGGCAGGGUUGCAGCAGAGGCCCAGUAAAUAUUGUUCAUUCAACGUAUGAAGGAGAAAAUGGAAGUAAGGCCAAAAAUUACUGAUUGUAAACAAAUGAAGCACCAAGUGAAUAAAUGUACAAAUAGACAAGUAGCCAGUAGGAAAAAAAACAAUAAUUGUUACCUAAAGAAUGAAAACCAAGUGGAAAAGGCCGCCAGGGACAUUUUAAUAUGCAUAUUGUUGCUUUCACAUAUAAUACAGUAAGGGAGUAUCAGAAAACCUGAAUCUGCCUGACUAAAACAUACCCUGUUCCACAAAGCUAUAUAUAUGAGAGUAUUGAAGGUGGUUUAAUACCAAAUUCAAAAAUUCAGCCUCAGUGUAGCAAACUUUUAAAUUUUCCAUGAUAUAAAGUAAGUUUUAACCAACAAUGGAAGUCACAGCACUAAAGUACAUUACUAUUAUAUGAUUCUCUGAUGGUAAUAGAAACUGUGCUGCAGGACACGUUUUGAUUCAGGAAGAAAUGUGGAGUAACUCCACAGAGGAAUUCAUCCUUUCUAAGUUUAAAUCUGAACGGAACCCAUAUGCCCAUACCCUGAAGAUGCAUGUAAGGGAACAACAUGGCUUGGUCUGUUGAAAAAAGAAAAGAACCUUCAAUUAAGCAUUCUGUGAACUUGAUAAGAGGAUGCAGAGGAACGUAAAUGCACUCUGCAUAUCUGUGAUUGACCUUGGAACACAGUGAUUGCCCUCUAAAGAAUAGCCGAGUAAGUACUGUUAUCAUUCCACCGAUCAAAUUAGAGCCUCUUCCUUCCAGUGGGAGCAGAGUGACAUAGACCAAGGAAAGCCGAGGAGAAGAUUGUAGCCUUUUAUUUCUCCUUAUAUUUGUUGAGGUUCACUGCUGACUGAUAAACGAUUUGCACAAAAAAAUUCAGGCCUCUGACUCUUCUGGUAUUUGAUUUAUCUAGUAAAGUUAAUUCCAAGACAAAAGUACAGUUGGUUAAAAAUACCAGUCUCAUGUUUAUUUGAUGGUUUGAAAUAUUCUGUUACAUUGUUGUAUCUCGUUUGUCACCUUGGAAUAUAUGACAAUCAUGUUAUCUUGAUUUUUUCCACAAGAUAAUUUGAUUCUAAAAUCGAUUCAUUGUUUAUCUUCAGGAAUUAGAGAUUUUAAAAAUGUCAUCUCAUGUCUCAUUCAGUCAUUUCCAAGAUUUAGCGAGUGUUCUCCCUAAUGCCUUGGAUAAGAAUGCCUUGUUCAAUGGCUGUAUUUUACUCAUAAUUAGCAUUCCAACUGCUU
rnacentral:lncRNA from 1 species